rnacentral:tRNA from 1 species
GGUGACGUACCCAAAUGGCUAAGGGCACUGAUUGCAAAUCAGUUGUGUAUCGGUUCGAGUCCGAUCGUCACCUCCA